UUCUCCUGCGCGUUUGCAGGUUACAAACAAAACCGACGCUUUAAGGCGGGGAGGGGGGGCAGGGUGUCUUGAGUUUUCACCAGAGCCUGUCGCAGGGUUGCCAGGAAGCCAGUGGCCGACUUCAGAGUCACACAGUGUUUCACUUGGACCUACGUGGUUAUCACCAACAUGAGGUUUCAAACACACUGUCCUGUUGGGGUUUAUUAUGAGGAAUUGGCUCACAUGAUUAUGGAAGCUGAGAAGUCCUAAGAUCUGCUGUCUGAAAGCUGGAGACCCAGGAAAGCCAGUGGUGAAGUCCAAUCUGAAUCCCCGAAGGCCUGAGGGCCAGAGGAGUGCAUGGUGUAAACCCCUGUCCAAGGGCAGGAGGAGGCAGAUGUCCCAGCUCGAGCAGUCAGCUUCCAGGUGACGCUGCUGAGCUUCGGACCACACUGAGCAGCGAGACGCUAGGACAGCGAUUCUCAAACAGGUGAUUUUGGCCUCCAGGGGACACUUGGCAACGUUGCGGAGACAUCUUUGACUGUUACAGCUGGGGUGGUGCUACUGCGUGGAGACCAGAGACGCUGCUAAACGUCUUACUAUGCACAGGACGGCCCUCAGAACAAAGAAGGAUCUUGCCGCAAAGGUCCACAGUGCCAAGGCUGAGAGCCCUGCUCUAGAACGAUCUUCGAAUUUGCCAUGCGCAUCUGUUCUCCCGGCCCUACGGAUGUGGCCAGAAGGAUCUCGAAGGGGAUGGGCCUGGCGGCGCUCCUGGACAUCCCCGCUGCUUGCCUUUGGGGAUGGGCAGCUCCUGCUCCUGUAGGACUGCGCGUGCGUCUAGGACUCAGGUUCUAGAAGGAUGAACUUGGUGUGCAAACUGGAGGGCUCAGUGUUAUGGGCUGAGUUGUGUCCUUCUAAAACUUAUAUGUUGAAGCCCUAAUUCUUAGGACCUCAGAAUGUGACUCUAUUUGGAGACAGGAUCUUUAAAGAGGCAGUCAAGUUAAAAUGCGGUCAUUAGAGUGGGCCCUAAUCCAAUCUGACUCGUGUCCUCAUAAGAAGAGGAAAUUGGGACAGAGAUGCAUAGAGAGGGACGACCAUGUGGAGACACAGGGAGAAGACGGCCACCUACAAGCCAAGGAGAGAGACGUCAGAAGAAACCAACCCUGCCAGCAACUUGGUCUCAGACUUCUAACCUCCAGAACUGUAUGUAAGAAGACAAAUUUUUGUUGUAUAAGCCACUCUGUCUGUGGUACUUUGUUAUGGCAGCCCUGCCUAGCAAGCUAAUACAGUUGGUUUCCAAGUAUGUGCUGAAAGGGCUGUAUUUCCAGUUAGACACAUUCAAUUUAAAUAAUACAGUACAGCACCAAAGAAGAAAUCCUCCAAAACAAUUGAUUUUGACAAUGUAGUUUUCCUGAUAGUAUCAAUUCUACUCUACCAAGGAAUAAGCGCUCAGAAAUUCAGGGUUAUGGCCGCCGUUCAGUUGGUGGCAGUUAAUGAAGUAUAUGUGGCCUCAAACCAUCUUCUAACCAAAAAUUGAUUUAUCAGUAUGUAAAAGUGGUAAAAGUCUUCUCCUUCAUGAAGUCUGUAAUUAAAGUUACAUAAAUGGGGACAUUUUAAUCAUAACCUCUACAAUCAAAAUAAAGUCGGGGGACAUCCCUGGUGGUCCACCGGUUAAGACUCCGUGCUCCCAAUGCAGGGGCCCCGGGUUCCACCCCUGGUCAGAGAACUAGAUCCCCCAUGCUGCAACUAAAGAUCCUGCACGCAGCAACGAAGAUCCUGUGUGCCGCAACGAAGACCCGGUGCAGCCAAAUAAAUAAGUAAAUAUUAAAAAAAAAAAGUCAGUAAUUUGAUAUUGUUUUUUGAAAAAUUAUAUUUUGGCAAUACUUGUGGGGCAUCGGAUGCAAAAAGUAUGGGGCAAGACUAUUUAGGGAGAAAAGGAACAGGAAAAGUGUUCACCGGAUUUUAAUUAAAACAUUGUUUAUUGAGUAUUGCACUUUACUAGAGUGAAAGAUAUGUAUAUGUUAUAAAAACUAAUUUAAGACUGCUUUUUGCUCACGAAGAGAAACAGCUGGGUUUCAGCAUUUGUGUGUAUUCAAGAUCAGUCUUCACUGAGCAAAAGAAACUCUAUAGCCAUUUGGAGAAGAAAAUGAAAAGCUAGCUUACUCAUCGGUCAUUAGAAAACAUUCUUUGUGUGCACAUGGAACAUAAAGCUCAUCAGGUUUAUAAUACAGCCACUUCCAGUUCUUAGAAAGCUUAAUCUCUUGAUUAGAUGCCAUUUUUAGUUGAAUAUUUUAUACCCAAAGUUAGAAAUUUGUACAACAUAACCAUUUAUUCACACUGCUACCAGGCAGCGUCACUAAAGACCUGCGAACCAUGGACCAUGCACUUACGCUGACUUCUGGAAUUCUGGGCAGUUCUGGGAGAGGAUGAUACGAUGGUGACCCAAAGGGUGAAGAGCUUCCCUUCCCACAUCUUUGCAUGGAUUUGAAAUCUAAUUCUAACAACUCUGAGUAUCUGAGAAAAGGGAAGUCCUCACUACAAAUUUAUUGAUCGCCCCAGAGGAGAUGCCCGUGCCUUAAUGCACCCUUUCCAAAACAAAUGAGCAGGAGUAAAGAGAAGGUAAUGAUUUUAAGGGACACCUGACCUGCAGCCCUGGCAGCCUUUGCUAGCUGUCAGCGAAAACACUCGUGUUGUUCCAGAAACGAUGCCAACCCCAAACUCCCCCUCCAGAAUGGUUGAAUUUCGGAAUCUCUUCACCAUCCACCAGAAGGAACUUCCACCAUCCAUGAAGCAACAAGACACAACUGAAGAAUGAAAAUAGUUGACAGACCACUGACAUUAUGCUGCCAGAAACAGAAUGAUCCUCACUGAAAGAAGAUACGAAGACCCUUGUCGUCUCUCUUCACCUCCACUCCCCAAGUCAGUCUGUACCCGUAUGAGAAUUGCAGCCCCCUGAAAGCCACUGGAAGGAAUGAAACGGUCCACUGCCUUCUGGGGUGUAUAAAUCCCGCCACAUCCCAACUCCAGAGCACUGUAAGAAGGGACAAGGGUAAGAAGAGUCUUUGUGGCAGUGCCCACCGGGGGUUGCGGCUUUGCGUACAUUCCAUCUUUUCAGAGUAUUAGGGCUCUGGAAAGUGAAGGAAAGAGAAGAUGCCACCUUUCUCCUUCAGAGCUGCAUUAAAUGAAAUUCUGCUGAUUACUAGAAAUGAGUCUGGUCAGGAUUUCUCAACGUCUUCUCUCUUGACAUUUGGGGCCAGGUCAUUCUUUGUUGUGUGGUGCUGCCGUGUGUAUGUUUAGCCGCGUCUCUAGAUCUCAGGCUGUUUUGCAGCACCUGUGGCCUCUACUUAUUAGAUGCCAGUAACCUCCUGCCCCCUCCACAUACACAUAGUGACAACCGACAAUGUCUCCAGGCAAUGCCAAAUGUCCCUCAGGGCAAAAUCAGUCCUGGUUGAGAACCAUUGGAAGAAGACAACCGGAAACAUAAUUGAAGAAUAGAUUGUUGAGUGGAAAAAAAUGACCUAGGUAUGUAGAUCAAAAUGGAUCACUGAUUCUAGGCAAAAUCUGUAAUUACUGAUAUUUGUUGCAAGCUUAUUUUAUGCUAGGUGCUGUUCUAAGUGCUUUACCACAUUAUCUCAUUUAACCCCAGACCACGCUUUGAGGGAGGUACUAUUAUCAUCUCCAUGUUACACCCGGAGGAAUGGAGACACAGAAAGUUUUCUGUGAAACUUGGUGAACCAUCAACUCAUUGCCAUCGGCUUGUGCAUGUGUACUGAAGGUGAAAAAGAUUAACAACAGCGUGAGUUUGUACAAGACUUCCUUUUUGGAAUCUUUUAUUUUUGGCAAAUGUGUGGAAGGACUGUGGGAAUCACAUGACAUCAAACAGAAUUUCAGCAAAGGACCAAGAACUCCAAUACUACAUUUUUAUGCAUGUAGGUAAUUUUUGAUAUGAAUAUUUAGAAACAGCUAAACUAAUUUUAAGGUAAUUUUAACUUUCUUAGCUAAGCUAAUUUUAAGAUUUUACUAGAAGAUUUUUUUGUUUUAUUUAUUUAUAUCCCACAUGUUCUAGUUGAUACCUAAGGUGGCUUACAAAAUUAGUACAGUAAAAAAAGAUAAAAUGUAAACCAAAACAAAACAACCUCAUUACUGGUGAGGGGAUUGAGCAGAGGCCACUUAGACAUUGUGUGUGUAUUUAGCUAGUGUUAUUGUUUGUUAGGGAGAAUUGGCAAUACACUACAAAGCCUUAAAGAGUCUGCCUUCUACCUAACCUAGCAAUUCCACUUUUAGGAAUUUAUCUUAAGGAAAUAAUCAAGAGUGAAGGCAAACAUUUAGCUAUGUUCACCAUGUAUGGCUGUGUUUCACUGUUGAUAAUGGCAAAGGACUGAAAAUAAUUUAAACAUGCAAUAAGCAGGAAAUUGGUUAAGUUAUAGUAUAUCUAUUUUGUGGAUAUUUGCAAUUGUUUAAAAUGCUGUUGUAAAAUAGUAUUUAAAUCUAUUGAAGAUGUUUAAUAUAUUGUUAACUUCAGAAAACAUGGUGUUAAAUAUUAUGUAUAAAAUGAACCACUUUUAGAAAUGCGCAUACAUGCAUGGAGAAAUGACAGAAUAUUAAGAACUAAAAAUGGGUGGUGAAAGACCAGAUCGUUUUUAUUUUCUUUUUUUCUUAUAUGUAUUUUAAACAUCUUAUAUCGUGUAUAUUUAUUGCAUUUGUAAAGAGAAAAACAAGUUUUUUUUUUAAAUUAGGUAAGAAAAUGAGUACAAUGGGAAAAUGACAGAAAAGUUAAAAUGAACCUUGAAAUGAGGUUACUUCUCAAAACGCAUGCAAUAAGAUUCUGUACAGAUGGGACAUACAUUUUGCUCUAAGCUUUCAAAAGCCAUUGGAAAAAGGGAAACAGAAUCAGCUAUAGUAUCUACAAGAUAAGAUACUAUAGUAUCUUAUAAGUAUAAGGCAAGAACAGUUUGUUGGUCCACAACUUGAAAGUAAAUAUAAUGGCUGAUUUCACUGAGCUUUUACCUACAUGUAGGAUGAAAACAAAAUGCCAAAGGCCAACAGAAAGUUAAAUAACAGUUAUAAGUUCCCCUUUAUAUAAAGGGGAGCCGUAAAGUUUGGAAUCACAAACAAUACUGUUUUAUUUUUUUACAGACUCAUAUUAAGUAAAUUACAUUAUGUUAUAGUAUAUAUCAACUUUACAGACAGAACCCCCUUGAUUACUUAUUUCUUCUGGAGUGUGCUAAAAGUAUAGAUUUAUUUAGUAAAAAUGAGAGGGAGAAAUCAGGCAACAUACUGCAGAUGCCUCUGCUAGGAUUAAAGAAAAUGUUGUAUUAACACACCACACUCAUUGCAACAUCAACUAUGCAUUGCUACAAGGCUCUACUUCAUGCAAUCUUCUGGGACAAACCAAAGCUCCCCCUAAAAACUUUCUUAGGACAUGCUCAACCAUCCAAUCUUGUUAAUGUUAAUUAAUUUCAACCUAUAUGACGCUAGUGAGUUUCUUAUAUUUAAGGUAAGGUGCUUGUGUCUCAUCCAAAUGAGACAGUAAGGUACGAAAAGAAAAACCAACGCAAGCCUAAACUGUGAAUAGUUUCAAGAAAAACAAAGGAAUAGUCAUAACGGCUGUAAGAUCUUUAUGGUCAGGAAUGGUGCUUCUUUUCCAGCAACUCUACAUGUAGAAGACAUUCAAUAAAUACUUAAUGAUUAUCUGAUUGAUGGCAAUAUUG